rnacentral:lncRNA from 1 species
GCCCGGGUUUGCGGGAACAAAGCAGCGCCCUGCGGAAGGCAGCCCUCGUGAACUCAGAAGUUAGUUUUCGUCUCUGGACCUUUUUAUAAUCGGACUUCAGCCCAUCACUGUCUCGUUUUGUCCUCAGAAACGGCGACAGCAGCCUCUUCCCAAUGUUGAGAGCAAAAAGUGUGAACCCAGAAAUUCCGAGACAGAUCUCAAUUACUUGCCAAGGUUGAGGACGCGCGCGUGACAGCCUCAGGAAGUCCUCACGACAUGUGCCCAAGGUGGUCUGGGCAUAGCUUAGUUUUAUACAUUUUAUGGAGACAUGAGACAUCAAUAAAUGUAUGUAAGAAGUACAUUGGUUCUGUUUGGAAAGGCGGGGCAACUUGAAGCAAAGGCAGGAAGACGUGAAGCAGGAAGGGGGCUUCCAAGAAACAGAAGGUGAGGCACAAACGGUUGCAUUCUUUUGAGAUUCUGAUUAGCGUUUCCAAAGGAGGCAAUCAGAUAUGCAUCUGUGUCAGCCAGCAAAGGGGUGACUUUGAAUAGACUGGGAGGCAGGUUGGCCCUAAGCAAUUCCCAGCUUGACUUUUUCCUUUAGCGUAGUGAUUUGGGGGGGUCCCAAGAUUUAUUUUCCUUUCACAAAAGCCAUGGAGUGGAUACAGGAGAACCUCCUCUAUUGUAGGCUUUUUGGAGCUUGAAAUUCUGGGAGCUUCUAGAUGGCGGAAGCAGCGGGGAGAAUAGGGUAAGGCUGAGAAAGUCAGAGGGCCCUCUCUUCUAGGAGCUUCUCCCAUGUGCUGUGCAGGACGCCUCCCGACCGCCUGUCUCCCUCUAGCUGCAGCCAGGCUCUUGGCUUCCCUGACGUCCUGCCCCUGCGCGGAUGGCCCAAGGCUCCUAGGCUCAAACCCAGCUCAUCCCUUUCUUACCCCAACCUGCUUCCCCUGGGGUCUUUAUCUCAGUAAAAGUCGCCAGCUCUCCCCUGAGACCUCCUUCUCACACUUCCUGAUGGCCUACUCUGUGCUCCACGUGACUUCAUACAUGUCCUGUGUACUGGAGUCAGAGUCACCUCCAACGCGCCUUUUAGCUCUUAGUGGGUUCUUUAGUUGAAUCUAGGCCCAGAUUGAGAAUCGCCUGUAAUCCUGGCGCCUGGGAGGUCGGGGCAAGAGGAUUCCUUGAGUCCAAGAGAAUGAGAUCAGCCUGCUCAACUUAGGAGACCCUAUCUCAAAAAUAAAUAAGAAAAAAUGAAUCGACAGCAGACAGACUAACAGGAGGAAAGAAUACAAAUUGUACCUGUUUUACAUGUACUCAGGCAUCUUCACAAGAGAGAGCAGUCAGAAAAAGUGGCUGAAGCCAGGUGCUUUUAUAUUUCUUUUCUUUUUUUUUUUUUUGCAGAGACAAGUGAACAUUUAUUUUUAUGUCUUUCUUCCUAUGUGUAUUUCAAGUCUUUUUCAAAACAAGGCCCCAGGACUCUCCAGAUUCAAUUAUGUCCUUGGGCUUGGUCGACUGCUGCAGGAGUCUUAAGGAGCCUUGUGCAAAUGCUAGAGUGACUCAUUUACCAACAUUAAACCCUAGGAUAGAUGCAACAGAGAAGUACUACUUCCUCCAUGGAAUGUGCUGAUUUCAGGCGACGUGGCACCCAAUGUAGAAAACGCUGGAAUUUUUCCUUGGAACUGGACUGUGAUGAGAGGUGCUUGCCAUGAACAUAAGCUACUGUCUUUUUUUUCUUUUUUUGAGACGGACUUUCACUUUUUUUGCCCAGGCUGGAGUGUAAUGGCGCGAUCUUGGCUCACCGCAACCUCCGCCUCCCAGGUUUGAGUGAUUCUCCUACCUUAGCCUCCUGAGUAGCUGGGAUUACAGGCGUGCGCCACCAUUCCCAGCUAAUUUUUGUAUUUUUAGUAGACACAGUGUUUCUCCAUGUUGGUCAGGCUGGUCUCAAACUCCUGACCUCAGGUGAUACGCCCGCCUCAGCCUCCCAAAGUGUUGGGAUUACUGGCGUGAGGCAUCGUGCCCAGCAAGCUACUGUCUUUUCUUUGACCCUUUCCAGUUUUUGAAGAUAAAGCAGGAAAUAAUCUUCUCUGAAAGUACUUGAUAAAAAUUCCCAAAACAACAAAAACACAUGCUUCCACUUCAUUGAUAAAAAUUUACUGCGGUUUGGCACCUGGGUCUAGUUCAGCUGGCAGAUGAGCUGAUUGAUGCGUUAACCCCCACAGCCAGGUGUGCCCAUCUCCUUGAGGAAGCCCACUCUAUUUUUGGUAGCAUGACGGGCCACUGAAAGGUGGAAAGGGCGCAAGAACCAUGAGAUCUCCUGGAAAUGCUUCCCUGGGAAGGCAAUUUCAUGAAUGAGGUCUUCCAAGCAAAUGACGCCAAACUUCCCCAGGUCCUCCUCAAUCACUGUGUUGUCUGUCAGAGGGAUGGUCUUAUUCUUUUUUUUUUUUUUUUUUUGAGACAGAGUUUCGCUCUGUCGCCCAGGCUAGAGCGCAGUGGUGCAAUCUCGGCGCACUGCAAGCUCCACCUCCCAGGUUCACGCCAUUCUCCUGCCUCAGCCGCCCAAGUAGCUGGGACUACAGGCGCCCACCACCGCGCCGGACUAAUUUUUUGUAUUUUUAGUAGAGACGGGGUUUCACUGUGUUAGCCAGGAUGGUCUCGAUCUCCUGACCUCAUGAUCCACCCAUCUUUGGCCUCCCAAAGUGCUGGGAUUACAGGCGUGAGCCACUGCGUCUGGCCGAUGGUCUUAUUCUUGACCUUGGCUUGUCCAUGUUUCAAAAUGAAUUCCCAGACAGACUUCAGAUUUGGAAAUCCUCAGGUCACAUAAGGUUCCACUAUACGCAGCAUUUUUAAAAAGACACCACUAAAAAUUUUCUUCAGGCAAAGUCUUGCAAUGGUUCUCUGCACCAGUAAACUCCCGCCAUCAAUCCUUUUGAUGCGUACAACAAAGGCCAAGGAACAUUUAUCCGGCAAUUCCAAGGCGUGAGGUUGCACUUCUAGUUGUCUUGAGAUGCACCUUGUCACGUUUCUCCUGCCAGGAAUCAUGUAGGAAUGAUUCCAGUCACUUAAACCUGAGCCCUUUUCCUUUCCUCUGCUCCUUUGCCAAAAAUGCCUGCUUUGCCUGGGUGGCUUUGAGGGCUUGAUAAGCCUUCCUAUUUUUCAGGAGAUUUUCUGGAACCAAAGGAAUUUUUCUGUGCUCUUGCUCUGCCAUCUUUCUAGUGGUGCAGCUACUGAUCAUUAUAUUUCUUUCUUUUUUUAUUUUGAGACGGAGUCUCACUUUGUCACCCAGGCUGGAGUGCAGUGGCGCGAUCUCAGCUCACUGCAAGCUCUGUCUCCCGGGUUCACGCCAUUCUCCUGCCUCAGCCUCCCGAGUAGCUGGGACUACAGACGCCCACCACCACGCCUGGCUAAUUUUUCUGUAUUUCUAGUAGAGACGGGGUUUCACCGUGUUAGCCAGGAUGGUCUCAAUCUCCUGACCUCGUGAUCCGCUCAUCUCUGCUUCCCAAAGUGCUGGGAUUACAAGUGUGAGCCACCACGCCCGGCCUGUAUUUCUUAAAUAACCAUAAUUUUUUUUUUUUUUUUGAGAUGGAGUUUUGCUCUUAUUGCCCAGGCUGGCGUGCAAUGGCGCAAUCUCUGCUCACUGCAACCUCUGCCUCCCGGGUUCAAGCGAUUCUUCUGCCUCAGCACCCCGGGUAGUUGGGACUACAGGCAUGCACCACCACACCCGGCUAAUUUUGGAUUUUUAGUAGAGAUAGGGUUUCACCAUGUUGGUCAGGCUGGUCUUGAACUCCUGACCUCAGGUGAUCCACCCACCUUGGCCUCCCAAAGUGCUGGGAUUACAGGCGUGAGCCACUGCACCUGGCCAAGAACAAUAAAUUUUAAAAGAAAUGACAGGACGAAGAAAAUCUGGCUAGGGCAGUAAAAUUUUCAAGGGGAGAUCUGUGUGGGUUGGGGGGGCAUCAAACAGGUGGAAGAUAUGGAUUACUUUGUUAAGUGUGUUUAUUCUGGUCCCUUGGGGCCUCUAAGGGCUAUUUUCUCACCCUGGGGAGAGGAGGCAAAAAGUUUGGGAGGGGCAUAAGGAUUCAUUGUUGCCCAGGGGGUGUGUUCCCAGCCCUAGGUCUCCCAGGCUCUCAGACCUCGGAAGGACACAAGAGAAAACUGAAAACUUCCCUUAAAAGCAAUGACAUUUUGUCUCUUGCAGUGCCCACCCCUCAGUGUGGUGCCCAUUACCCACAGUCUGGAAGAGCUCUGGGAGAUCCUAGAAGCUCCCUUGGGGGUCUGGACCCUCCUGGGAAAGAACCAGGGGCAGAGUUCACAAUCCUGGAGGUCAGCCUCUGAGGUCCAUGUCACCAGGCCAGUCGAUCCACUGAAGGGCCCCUGGCUCAAGCAUUGCCAGCAGUGGGGACAGGUGAAGGAACACAGGCCCGCUGGGCAACAGGAAGCAGGGGUGGGCCUCGUUGUGGGAGAAGUGGGUGCUAUACCAGCUGCGGGCAAAGGGUCACUCCCCGGAGUACCUGAGGCCUGGCUGAAGGUACUGGCGAAGUGUGGCUGCACUGGGGACAGGAAUGAGGUGCUGAGUGAGUGCCAGAUGUUGAGGCCGGGCAGAGACUGCAGAUUUGGGGAAGGUCUGGCUACAGGGAGCCUUGGCCAAAGGCUCAGAGACCAGGUCAGUGUUUCUGACACCAAGGGCUUAUGACAGCUCCCAAAUAGACUCCUGCUGGUCCCUUCCAAAUGUGUCAUUUUUCUGAGUGGCCAUUGGGAAACUGCUGAUUCAUAACUUACCUCUGGCCCUGUCAACUCCUCAAGGCCUACUCAUAUUCAGGUGACAGAAUCAACCUUCACAACAGCAGCAUUCAGAUGGGUACCCCUGGGAGCCACCCUCAUCCCCCACCCCCAGACAGUGCUGGCCAACUGAGGAGCUCACCAGGCAGUGACAUUCCCACACACCUCAAGGCCAACCAGAGGAGCCACCAUCAACUACACAGGCAGCUGUUCCAGGGCCUGGGGGCCUGGAGACAGAAAGGUGAACUUUCUUCAUCCUAAAUUUGAAUUCACACACUGCCACUGAAUGGGCCGAUUCAUAGCACAGCCUGACUGUAGUCCCAUGGGAUGUCACCAGUCAAAUUAAGUGCUGGGCGCGGUGCCUCACGCCUGUAAUCCCAGCACUUUGGGAGGCCAAGGAGGGCAGAUCACCUGAGAUCAGGAGUUCAAGAGCAGCCUGACCAACAUGGUGAAACCCCAUCUCUACAAAAAAUACAAAAAUUAGCUGGGUGUGGUGGCACAUGCCUGCAAUCCCAGCUACUCCAGAGGCUGAGGAAGGAGAAUGGUGCGAACCCGGAAGGCGGAGGUUGCAGUGAGCCGAGAUCACACCACUGCACCCGAGCCUUGGUGACAGAGUGAGACUCUAUCUUUAAAAAAAAAAAAAGGCCGGGCACAGUGGCUCACACCUGUAAUCUCAGCACUUUGGGAGGCUGAGGCGGGCCGAUCAACUGAGGUCGGGAGUUUGAGACCAGCCUGACCAACAUGGAGAAACCCCAUCUCUACUAAAAAUACAAAAUUAGCCAGUCGUGGUGGCGCAUGCCUGUAAUCCCAGCUACUCAGGAGGCUGAGGCAGGAGAAUCACUUGAACCCGGGAGGCAGAGGUUGCGGUGAGCCAAGAUCGCACCAUUGCACUCUAGCCUCGGCAACAAGAGCAAAACGCCAUCUCAAAAAAAAAAAAAAGAAAGAAAGAAAGAAAAGAAGCCCAGUCUCGGUCAGGUGUGGUGCCUCACACCUGUAACCCCAGCACUUUGUGAGCCUGACGGGGGCAGAUCACUUGAGGUCAGGAGUUCAUUACCAGCCUGGCCAACAUGGUGAAACCCCGUCUCUACUAAAAAACAAUUAAAAAUUAGCCGGGUGUGGUGGCAGGUGCCUGUAAUCCCAGCUACUCAGGAGGCUGAGGCAGGAGACUCACUUGAACCUGGGAGGUGGAGGCUGCAGUGAGCAGAGAUCACACCACUGCCCUCUAGCCUGGGCAACAGAGCAAGACUCCGUCUCAAAAAAAAAAUUGUAGCAGGACGAGCCGCAGACAAGAACCCCUCAGACACCAAGUUGUGAAAGGCAAGGGCUUUAUUCAGCUGGGAGCAUCGGCGGAUUCAUGUCUCCAAAAACCGAGCUCCCCGAGUGAGCAAUUCCUGUCCUUUUUAAGGGCUCACAUCUCUGAGGGGGUAAUGAUUGAUUGAACAAACAGUGGGUACGUGACUGGGGGCUGCAUGCACAGGUAAUCAGAACGGAACAGAACAGGACUGGGAUUUUCACAAUGCUUUUCUAUACAAUGUCUGGCAAUCUAUAGAUAACACAAGCAGUUAGGUCAGGGGUUGAUUUUUAACCAGGGUGCAGUGCUGGGCUAUCUGCCUGUGGAUUCCAUUUCUGCCUUUUAGUUUUUACUUCUUCUUUCUUUGGAGGCAGAAAUUGGGCAUAAGACAAUAUGAGGGGUGGUCUCCUCCCUUAAAGUGAGAAAGAGAAGGUCAAGAUGCCAGGCUCCAGGGAAUGUCAUAAAUUCAGGUCAGCAAAAAUGAGUCACACCAGGAGUAAGGAACAUAUAAAUAGCAUUCCUUCCUCAACAAAAUAUCCUCUUCCAGCUGGGACGGAGACGUCAUCCCCUCUUCUCCCCUUUCUGCCUUUCUCUUAGGCUUCCUCCUUCCUGGGGAUCCUGGGCAUUUUGACUCACAGCUGGGCCUCCUCCUACUCCCAGGAGAUGAGGGUGUAAGGUCAGCUGAGAGAAAGGAAAAAUAGACCUAAAGUUAGGCAGGCAACUUUUUAUUAAUCUGCCAGCUGCUCCCCUAAUAGAGAGGAAGCAGCCCCAAGCUUACAGAAUGAGGGGUUUAUAUUGGGGAGGGGAGUUUGAGGGAGUUCUUUGGUAUGGCCGCAUCUCGGGGUUGUUUGCUGGUUAAUUUUUCUACAUAUUACCUUGUGACGUUUAUUACAGGAGGGUGUAGGUAAAGUUUGUUUAUGUUUCCCACAACCUCCCCCUGUGCGGUGUGGAUGAUUUGUACCUGGGGUUUGCUUAUUGCAGCAAGGUCUGAUAAGUGAAGUCUGCUGGCUUCACCGCGGCACCUAGAUAAGGGCUUAGAAAUGUAAAGAGGCUUGGGGGAAGGGUGGGCAGCACCAAGAAGCUUUCUUGGGCAGUUUGUCCCUAACAUUCCAGCCCUUUAAUAGGUAAUAGAAGAGGGGUGCCAUUGUCUGGCUGCUUCUUGCUGGGAAGGGGCGACGGUUGUGGGGGAAGGCUGGACAGUAGGGACUACAGUUUUUGGAGCCAUUGGUAUUCCUGGAGCAGCAUUAUAUCUUGUAUUGUCGCAUAGGUGAAGGCUCUGAUACGGUCCUGUAAAAACUGGGUGAGAUGGUGUAGGAGACAAGGGCCGAAUGCUAGGAAAAGAAAAAUGGUUAUGGCCGGGCCUAGAAGGGGCAUUAGCUAUGGAAACUAGGUAUUAAAAGACCAGGAGGGCCACGCUGGCCAUCAAGGGAUGUUUUCUUUAAUUUUUUGUGCUCGGUCCUUUAGUCUUUUUACAGCAUGUUGUACUAAGCCAGACUGGUUAAGAUAAAAGCAACACUUUUCAUCUAGAAAAAGGCAGAGUCCUCCUUUUUCGGCUGUGAGUAGGUCUAAGUCUCUGUGGUUUUGAAGAACCAUUGCUGCUAAAUAAUUUAUUUGUGAUUGGAGAGUUGUAAUGGAUUUGGCUAUUUUUUCCAAGCUAUUUGUGAGGUCUUUGGAGAGGGAUUGGUAAUAGGAAACGGAGGUGGUUAAUCCCGCAAUCCCAGUUCCAACUCCUGUAGUUAUUCCGAGGUCUACUAAUAGAGGUAUGAGUUGUAUAGCACGGCGGUGUCAGAUAGGGGUAUUAACGGGGAUUGGUAGGGGUUGGUCUCCUGGGGCAACGUUGAUUUUUGGACUGAGGAAAACCAGGGUGUGCAGGCGCCCAUCCAGUUAGAGGGGAGGCAAAUAUAAGUUGAGGUACUGCAUAGGAAAAGUAUGCCUUGGUUUGUUAGAGAGAACUGGUGUGUAUGCUAAAAAGAUAUACAUUUUGUUAUUUUCAUGCAUUUAUACUUCUGGGGUCCCGGCUAGGGCUGCUGCUGUAAGUGGUUGUAAAGGGGUGUUUGGUUUAGGCUGGGAGGCUUUUGGGUUCUUUUUUUUGCCAGUGUAAGAGGAAGCGUUUUGUUUCCACUAAGAUGCAUGUGGGAGUGUUGUUGAAUGUUGGGAGAAGGAGACAGUCCCGGGUGGUGGGUGUAGGGUAAGGAUGGUGCAUGGAGAGGGGAGUCAAGGGAAGAGGGAUAAACAGGGGAGGUGUUGGCCAUUACAGUACCCUUAAUUUUUGUUAAGGAGGUGGAGGCUAGAGAAAUAAAGCCUGUCUUUUUUGUUGGCGGCUUUGAGAGUAGUAUGUUCGGUGGGAGGUUUGAGUUGUAGGGUAAAGUUGCAGUUUGGAAUUCAGGUGGCUGAGGGGAAUGCCAGAGGGUAGAUGUCAUUGGAUGCACAGCAGUGCUGGAUAGGAUAAGAUUUUGUGGGUUGUUAUGGCUCCUAAUACGGGUUUAUCACAGCUGUGGUAGGGGGAUAGGUUGCGUAAAUAGGGAUGUAAGGUUGUAACAGCUGGACCCAACUCAUUAGCUAACUGAGGGGAGAUUUCUGUUAAUGCCUGCAUGUCGAGUUCGAGGGGGCUGUUAAUGAGGAUUUCGGGAUGGUAGGUUACUUGGGUGGAAGUCCAGUUACAGGCUGAGGCAGGGAUUGCAUUGUAUAUUGUGGAGAGGAGGGAUAGAGGAGGUUCCUGGAGGUAGGGGUUUAGCUUCAAUUACUCGGCCAAGGAAAACAACUGCAUACCCAGCAAUUUUGGGGGAGCCAGUGGGUACGGAAGAGGAGCUAUCUAUAAAUAGCUGGUCAUUGGGGUUGGUGAGAGGCUGGGAGGAAAUGUUUAGAAAGUGUGGCUGCAGGUGAUCUAGGAUGUUAGUAUAAGAAUGAGUAGAAGGGGAAGAAGAUACAGGGAGUAAGGAUGCUGGGUUGAGGGGAGCACUUUUGAAAAGACUGAAUUUGGGAUUUUCGAUAAAGAAGGCAUGGAGUAAGCCGGGCGCGGUGGUUGACGCCUGUAAUCCUAGCACUUUGGGAGGCUGAGGCGGGUGGAUCACCUGAGGUCAAGAGUUCGGGACCAGCCUGGCCAACAUGGUGAAACCCCCUCUCUACUAAAAAUACAAAAAUUAGCCAGGCGUGGUGGCACACGCCUGUAAUCCCAGCUAUGCAAGACACUGAGGCAAGAGCGAAACUCCAUCUCAAAAAAAAAAAAAAAAAAGGCAUGGAGUGAUUGAAUCCAUGAAGGAGAAAGGGAGCCUAAUGCUCAGGAGGAGAGGAGAUCUUGUAGAUUAUGAGGACUGCAGACGGUGGUAUUCUGGCUGAAAGUUAGUUUCCUGCUUUUUAGAGCUAAAAUGGCCACCACUGCUAGUGCUUUAAGGCAGGUUGGCCACCCUUUGACUGUGUCAUCUAGUUGUUUAGAGAGGUAAGUUACAGGGGCAAAAGAAGGAGGAUUUUUUUCCUGUUGUCCUAAGACAUCGAGGGUUAUUCCUCAGUUUUUGGAAGUAUGGAGAGUGAAAGGUUGGGAGAUAAUAGGUAAGGACAGAGUUGGUGCAGUGACGAGCGGUUUUGAGUUUGUAGAAGCUGGGGAGUAUGUUAUGUGAGGGUUUUAGGGGUUCAUCGAGAGGGUGUUUGGCCGCUUUAUAGAGGGGGCAAGCUAGGAGGGUAAAGUUGAGAAUCCAUAUUCUAAAGAAGCCUGCUAACCCUGGGAAGGAAAGGAUUUCUCGUUUGGAAGAGCGCGGGGGGUAGAUUAUUAAUGCUGCUCAGGCUGGGGUCACAGUCCAGGCCCCAGGGGAAGUUGAAUUUCUAAGUAGGUUACCAUGGAGGUGGAGAAUAGUGUGGAGUUUUGAAAAGGGUAUCUCUGCCCAGGAGCGGAGUUGGACAUGAGGGCAGGACUAAGGAAGAGUGAGUGAAGGAAAAACUGUGCAGGGAGCAGAAGAGUGGAGGGGUGGCUCGGGGUUUGGUGACUUGUCCAUCAAUUCCUACAACAGAGACCUGGGAGGACUGGGUGGGUCCUGAAAAAUUAGGUAAAGCAGAGUAGUUUGUCCCGGUAUUAAUUUAAAAAAUAUAUAUACUGGCCCAUUUGCCACCAUUAGGGUUAUUUUGGCUUGAAUGAAGAGAUGGUAGUUGCUGGGGGCGUUCAUUCCAGGGCACCGUCAAGUCUUCAGUGGCAAGGCCGAUGAAAUCCGAGUAGGAGGUUUUGGCUGGCUCAGGAGGGGAUGGGGGCAGUCCUUGCUGGGGCCACUCACAGUCUGACUUCCAGUGGGGUCCUCCACAGAGGGGGCAUGGCCUGGUGGGCUUUCCUGGGUUUGGGCAUUGUCUGGACCAGUGGCCUUUAUUGCCACACUUGGAACAGGUGCCAGGUGGAAGUGAAUUGUUAGGAGGCUUCCAUGUGGAGCUGCGGUCCCGUGGGCCUGCAGGGCCUCUAAUGGCAAAGGCAAGCAUUUGAAACUUUGCCUGUUUUUGCCUUUUAUUUUCCUCAUUAUGAUUGUUAAAGAUUUUGAAGGCUAAAUUAAGAAGGUCUCAUUGUGGGGUUUGAGGGCCAUUGUCAAGCUUCUGAAACUUGCAUCAAAUAUUGGGAGUGGAUUGGGAGAUGAACUGAAGGUUUAAAAUAUUGGGAGACAAACUGAAGGUUUAAAAUAGUGUUUCUUUUUGGGCUGGCUGGGUCUGGGUUGGUAUAUUUUCUCAUGGCUUCAGUUAAAUCAGAGAGAAAAAGGGCUGGGUUUUCGUUAGGAACCUUGGGUGAUUUCUGAAAGUUUUUUAUAGUUUACCGCUUUAUAGGCAAACUUUUGGAGUCCUGUAAAGAGACAUACAAUCAUGUGGUCUCAAUGGUGGCGUCCAGAGGCCCCGUCUUGAUAAUCCUAGGGUGGUCCUGGUUGGGGACUGCCUUUGCACCAGUAGGCUGGGCAGGAGCCUGGUGAUGAAUGGUAUCAGCAUGUGCCUGAUCUAGGGUCCAGUUAUGGUCUCGGUCUUCUGGGGUGAGGGUAGAAGAGAGGAUGAUGUAGGGGUUAUGCUAGGUUAGUUCAUAAGACUGGGUAAGGUACUGAAACUUCCUAAUAUAAGAGGUAGGGUCUUCUGGAAAUGAACCAAGUCUUUUGUUAAUUACAGAGAGAUCAGUGAGGGAGAAGGGAACAUAAACUCUAACAAUACUUUCAGCUCCUGCUGCUUCCUGAAGGGGAAGUAAGGGAGCUGGUUGCUGAACAUGUUGGGCCCAAGAGCGGGUGAGGGGUGGAGACGGAGAGGAACCAGAGUCAGAAGCGGGGUGGUUUGAGAGACGGGGAGAAGGGUAGAGCUGGAACGGGGACAUACAGUGGAGGAUUAGGAUGCUCCUGUGGAGGAUCGUGAUGCUGUCGGGGAGGGGGAAAAUUGGCAGAGUCAAAGGAAGAGGAAUCGUCCUAAGCUGGGGCUGUGGGGAGGAGGAUAGGAGGCGAGUCAGAUUUGGAGCGGACAAGGAGGAUUUAGAAAGUAGAACAAGACUGACAGAGGGAAUGGCAGUUACAGAGAGUGAAGAUGUAGCAGGACAACCUGCAGACAAAACCCUUCAGACACCGAGUUAAAGAAGGAAGGGCUUUAUUCGGCCAGGUGCUUCAGCAAGACUCACUUCUCCAACAACCAAGCUCCCCGAGUGAGCAAUUCCUAUCCCUUUUAAGGGCUCACAACUCUAAGGGGGUCCACGUGAGAGGGUUGUGAUCUAUUGAGCAAGCACGGGGCACAUGACUGGGGGCUGCAUGCACCGGUAAUUAGAUCGGAACAGAACAGGACAGGGAUUUUCUUUUUUUUUGAGACAGAGUCUCGCUGUGUCACCCAGGCUGGAGUGCAGUGGCGCGAUCUCUGCUCACUGCAAGCUCCGUCUCCCAGGCUCACACCAUUCUCCUGCCUCAGCCUCCCAA